rnacentral:misc_RNA from 1 species
GAAAACAUUUCCCGUAGUUCUUACAGCAACUAUAUGUGUGAACUCUGUAAAAACCUUGUUCAAGACCGGACAAUGAUACUCUCCUUCAGAGUUCUUGUGGAAAGUAAGAGGAAUUAAGUCUUCUUGCUUCAUAGGUGCCCCAGUUACUGGAUUCCUCCCAUAUUUCCUGAUGUAUGGAACUAUAUGCAUUAUUUCAAAAACAUUGCCAUCUUUUGUGCAUACUGGGUCCUCGAACGGUGUAAAUGUAAGAGCGCAGCAAUAG